rnacentral:lncRNA from 1 species
GAAGAAUCAAGCUGUCAUCACACAAACUUACAAAAAAAGUCGAGGGAAACGGAGUUCCAUAAAAUGAAUUCCACUAGAGUUUUCACUGGAAUAUUAAUAUCCUCUUUUCCCGCAGACAAGACACAUUUAAGUUGAUUAUCUGCCCCGCCCUCCCCAUCCCUCUGCAAGCUGCAUACCAAUUCCUUACCUGCAGGCUUGACCAGACCUGGUGUUCUGGGAUCUGGUGUGAAAACAGAAUCACUGCCUCACUUAUUAUUCUUCAGAGAACAAUUUUUAUUUCUCUGUCUCUAAAUGUCACAAGCCUUUUCCAAUGUUCAAGAAGAAAAGAUGUCUCCAGGUUGCUGUGCAGGACAAUGAGCACAAGUUCCCUUUUUUUGCUUCAUGCUGGAGAAUCUCCAAGAAUUUCUGGUCAUCUGGAG